rnacentral:lncRNA from 1 species
AAAAGAAGGCGGCGCUGAGAAACAACAAUAAUAACACAGUGCAUUAACAUAACUUGCAUAUUGAUGGUGCAGGUAACGAAGAGAAAACAAAACAAAACAAAUUUAAUUAUCGGCGCAUUAAAGAAGAGACGAGGCUAAAAUGAUGAAAAAGACAUGAGAUUCAGAUGCAACUUGGAUUGAAAUUAAGGUUUUUAGACGAAUGUGAGUAGAUUAAAGAGAAUGGAGUUUUUGAAAAUAUUCUUUUGACAUUUUUUGUUUUCGUAAAUUGAACUAAAAAGACUGCACUUACAG